GUUCACUGAUCAGAAUGCCAAACUAACGGUCAAUACCGGACAUUCUAAAUGGAUUGCCAGGGGAUUCCACCUGCAAACGUUCACUGAUCAGAAUGUUAAACUAAUGGUCAUUACUGAACAUUCUAAAUGGAUUUCCAGGGGAUUCCACUACAAGCAUUAAUAUAUUUGAAUGCUAAAAUAAGACAUUCAAAUGUUUUUACAUAACUAAGUCUUGUAUCAGACUAGAGUGCCCUCAGUUGACCAAUAUUAAUAGAUUAAUACCUAAUGAAAUUGCCAAAACAUAUUAGAGUUCCUUGUAAGAAGCAUCGUUAAUAACUCGUUAUUCUGAUAAAUGAACUCCUCUACACAAACCUAAAUUUAAAUGAAUUCCGAUUUUAGAAUGCCAUCAUUUUGCUUUGCACAUACCACUCAUCCAUUUUACUCUCUCACUGAAUGACGGCUUAAUUCAUUAUAAUGUUUGUUACAUCUUAUAGAAACAGUCAAGACGGAGAAUUAACAAUUUUUCCUUAUAAGAAUCUUUUUUACCGUUACAAAUAUCUUAGAAUUCUGAAUCAACUGUAUGCUGUUUUAAACCAUCAACUCAUUAAAGAUUUCCGUUCGCUCAGUAUCCAAAGCACAACCCGUACUCUGAGUCCUCUGGACCUUUACUUAGAUUACAAUGGUAUCCAGAGAGACCCUGCCUGCCAGGAGGGUAUGUGCUUGGACUGAAA